rnacentral:tRNA from 1 species
GGGAGAGUAGCUCAGAGAUUGCAGUAAGUAAGGCCGAUGCGUCUGGAAGCUGUAACAGUGCAGAGCGGCAGGAAGCCCCUGUGACGUCGCUGGUUAGAAUCCAGCCUCUUCCACCA